GCUAUCAUAACUCCUUUGGUGUCACCCUGUCCUUUUAGGUGACGAACAGUUGUCGUGUUCUGCAGAAAACAAAAGGGCAGAAGUUGAUGUGACAUAACACAUAACACAUAACAUGUGAAUAAAGAUGACGUCCUUGUGGCACUCAAAGAAAUAGUGCUCAUAUGGUUAAAUACUUAAUCGUAUCCAACUCCCACCGUUCCUAAAUAUAAGUCCUUUUAGAGAUUUCAAUGCGGACUAUAUACAGAACAAAAUAAGUGAAUUUACAUUCUAAAAUAUGUCUAUAUAUAUCCGUAUGUAAUUUGUAUUGGAAUCUCUAAAAAGACUUCUCCUCAUCAAGAAGAUCACAUACACUUUAUCUAUCCUGUACAAUGAGCAUAGGACAAGCUCAGCUAGUGUAACUACCAAUUAGCUAUGUGAUGAACAGCUUAUAAGAAAAUUAACUUUGAUUAUGUGUCUUGCGCCAAGACUACUCCAGAAACAUGCAUGUUGAAUGAAAUGAACAAACAAAUAGCCAAAAGACCAUUGGCUAUCCUUGACUGGCUAGUUGACUAAAUGGCUCAGGAAAAUAAAUUGUCAUGACAUAUUAUAAGUAAUAAAAAGGCAAAAGGCCACAAUAUGUGGUACAUAAUGUUCACAGUCCAUCGGCUUCACCAAACACUAAAAAGGGGUAAGCAUAAAUACACCUCGCUAAUCCCAUGGAGGCACUUCUCACAUAAAAAGGCAAAUGAAUGAAAACAGACAGGUAUCUUGUUUUCCUAGACUUGCAUCCAUGGCGAAAUGACUAUAGAAAAAAGAUGUGUGCUAUAGAUUUGAAGAAAAUACGGGUUCGCCUGUGAGGAAUAUACUAAAAGUCUACAACAAUAAUCAUAGUGAGGUAAUCAAGAAAAUAGUGCAAAUGCCUAAAUCUGAUACGCUAUAGAACUCAUCCUUCCGUAUGUAGUUUUCCUAUCUUCCAUGUGGAAGAGAUUAAGGUAAAUACUAACAGUUCGAAUUUGUUUUAGAAUAUAGGAGAGGCAUAUAUAUAAGUAAACUAAAAGGAAAAACCUACACACACAUGGUGCAACACCAGUCAUGCUAUUUAUUUCAAGCAUCAAUGGUAAAUACUAACUUGCCAAACCUCAUAUGUUUACUAAUUAUGAUACUGAAGAAGAAGUUACUGAAGAACAAACUAAUCAUUCCAGUGCUACAGAAUCAUGAAAAGGAACUGUGAUGAAAACCGAAAGGAAAGACUUAAUUUAUUUUAUUUUAUAUAUAACCAUGGAAGAGCAGCAUUAUAAAUCAUAAGUUGUAGCUCCUAUAAAUCAUAAGUUCCCUCAUAUUGUAAAUAGCGCCCUUGUAUGGAUGGGGGAACUUACUAUCCCAAUGCCACAUAGAUAAUCACAGUAUGUGAACACUGACACAUGAUUGCUCUAGAUUUGAGAUCGUGGCACUCUGCACCUCCAUAUAAAAAUUACCAAUGGGCAAUGUGUGGGAAUUCUCAUGAACAUCAUCACCACUCACUGACCCACCUUCGAGCAUCUCUUAAGGAUUUUGGUGAUGAACCAUCUCAAGGAAAUUUGCAUUCAGGCUAGCAACUUCAAUCCAGUCGUAUGGUCCAACAAAACAAUUCUCUAGUCGGAGAAAAAAUAAGUAAAUAAAAAAUAAAAAACACUCUCUUUUCACCUAGAACUGAAGCUCAGGAAGUUUACUUCCCUUCCUAGCUUCCAACCCUGUCCCUCCUCAGACCUCUCUGAUCUAUACCUUUGUCAUGGAUGGAGCUACACUUGCUCAUGAAGAUGGGUGGAAGCUGGGAAGGGAACAAGAUUGGAGAGAAGACAGUAUCGAACCUAGGAGACAUUAUGCUAUGAGAACAAAUACGAGAAAAAACCAAAGCUCUCCUCUAGCUUGGUCAUGUUUACAUCAACAUAAAUCGUAACAUCAAAUUGCAGGAAUACACUUGACCGUGUGAGAUUAGUAUGAGGCUCAGGCUCCACAUAGUGAUACGAGAGAAUUAUCAUCCAACUUCAUCUAUACUAUGUGUAUAUGAUGACAGCAAGCAUGAGGCUAGCAGCAGGCUUCUAAAUUCUAACCACCGGUAAUAAAUCACCACAUAUGCCCAAAGCUCUAAGCAAAACAAGCCAAUUUGCAGGCAACAUCACACAUCACUUCUCGAGCUAUUUCCUAAGAAAUGCAUCAUAUCGUCAAAAUCACCCAACCAAGGUCGCUAACCCUACAAGCUUUGUCCAGAAUGCAGAAUUGAAGCAGGCAAUCACCUGACGAAACCUCAGAAGAGUGGGGGGUCGAGGCUCAAUGAAGCGGAGGAUGUAGCGGCUAAUAACACCUAAGCAAAGUCUUGAUAGCCAGCUGGUAGCUGAUUUGCCAUUAGUGGAUCAACACAUGUUCAAUAUACAUGUCCCCUGAUGUCAUUUUCAACAGCAUAGCCUGAGUUUGCAGUAACAACAAGAUCUUUACUUCUCUAUCAUCAAAGAGUACUAACAAUUACUAUGUAGUCAGCCUGCCUAAUCAUUUCCCAUGAAGGCAAAAGCAGCAGCCAUACACCAACAAACAUAGAGAUAACAGAAAUUAGUAGUUGCAAAACCACACAUAAGCGUUGGAUGAAACAAACAACUUUCUAGAGGAAGUGGAAAAUCUUUCUCAAAAAAAAAGGCAGUGGAAAAUCCCUAAAUAUAAAAAUAUAUUCACAGAUGCAAACAAUGUACAUGAGUAAACAAACAAUUUUAGAAAUCCUAAAGGAACAUCUACAAAAGGAACAUGUACAUGAGUAAACAAUGUAAACAUAUUACAAGCAAGCAUCCGGAUUUCUUAACAGUACCUUCCACAUCUCGCUCUCUUAAGAACAUGAUUUCCUCCAUCUCAUGUACACACCAACAAAGACCAGGAUUUGGACAUGAAGACCAGCAUCGAUGGCUAAUCCUAGUCGCCUUUUGCCGCUUGCAUCUGGCUGGAAUAAAACACCAAGCACAAAAAGUAACAACUCUGAUUGAAGAGAAUAUGCGCAAAAUAAAGGAAAUCUACACACUGUUACCUAGACCAAUGAAGCACUGAUAAAGCGACAGAUACGACAACACUGUUAAGGGGAUACGGGAUAUGGCGAUUUCCAGAAACAGUCAUUUUGCAAUGCAUCGAGUAUGUGUAAAUAACUAAUAAAAAGCCAUAUAGUAGGGCAAAGAGUAAUUGAAUGUGUGAGAUGAGAUCAAAAUAAUACCCCAUUUGUUGCCUCCAUGCUUCUUUUCAAGUCGUCAAUCGACCAAUGGUCAUUAAUUUCCUUAAUCUUUGUGUUACGGUCAAACGCAUCAUAAUUGAAUGUCGUUAUUGUCACUCCAUAGGCAGCACAGAAACAACAUCACCAGCAAGUAACAGCAUUAUACCACAC
rnacentral:lncRNA from 1 species